AUGGCCGAUGCAGCGGAAAGCUCGGGUUCCUCCGAACUCGAAGCAAUGAUGGCAGAGUUGGGACUCCAGGAGGACGACCUGCAGGAUGUGAUCGUGGAAGAAGACGAGCUCCCGGAAGAGGCGACCCGCUGGAUGGCGAUUGCUAGGGUUCAUACUGACAAACCCUACAGUCAGUAUUGGUUCUUUCGGAACAUGAGGGUGGCAUGGGAUCUAGCCCAGGAGGUGAAGAUCAAACCACUCGAGGAAAACCUCUACACACUACAGUUUUCGUGUCUGGGUGAUUGGGAACGGGUUAUGGAGGAUGGACCAUGGAACUUCAAGGGGAAGGCAGUCGUGAUGGCACCCUAUGAUGGGUUCACUAAGCCCUUCUCCAUAGAGCUCAAUAAAGUUGAGAUGUGGGAUUUUGAAGGGAAUUUCGCUCGUGUGCGUGUAAACAUUGAUGUCACUAAACCCUUGAAGAACAUCGUCUCCCUAGUGGUAAAGAAGAAGGGAGAGGUUCAGAUGGUGCUUUUUAGGGUUAAGUACGAAAGAUUGCCCGAUUGGUGUGCGGUGUGUGGAUAUCUCGGACACACCUUUAAAGAGUGUGGAGACGGGGUUCACCCCCUGAAGGCACUAGUGUUCAAGGAAUUGCGAGCAACAUGGUUUCGAGGCCCGGGGAGGGGCCCUGGAGAAAACUCUGGGAACAGAGAUGGAGAGAGGAAUCGCAAGAGGGGUGCUUCUGCUGUUGCUGAUCCCAAGAUCCCCCAAACCCUCCUUCUCAUAAUGGAAAGCGUCAUCUGUCGAUGCUUCUACCGGCUCCGGAGAUACCCCCGAGCCCCUCGACGAAACAUGAACCGAAGAGGAAUAAGGCAACAACUACAGCUCAAGAGAAAGUUUAUACAAGAGCUCGACCUGGUUAGAGAACCAGGGCAGAAUACCUCAAGACGGGGAGUGGGUGCAGUCCACCAAAAUCAGCAACCAAAAGCCCCUCCACCGGGGGUGGCUAAGAUACAUAUGAUGCCGCAUGUCAUAGGGGCACAGGAGGAGUCGCAGCAGCAGUGUGCAGAGAUGCUAACGGAAUUUUCAUGGGGAGCUCAGCUCUAUGCAUAG
rnacentral:rRNA from 1 species